CAGCCGCCGCGGUAAUACCAGCACCUCGAGUGGUCAGGACGUUUAUUGGGCCUAAAGCAUCCGUAGCCGGCUCUGCAAGUCUUCGGUCAAAUCCACCUGCUCAAAAGAUGGGCUGCUGGAGAUACUACAGAGCUAGGGAGUGGGAGAGGCAGACGGUAUUCAGUGGGUAGGGGUAAAAUCCUCUGAUCCAUUGAGGACCACCAGUGGCGAAGGCGGUCUGCCAGAACACGUUCGACGGUGAGGGAUGAAAGCUGGGGGAGCAAACCGGAUUAGAUACCCGGGUAGUCCCAGCUGUAAACGAUGCAAACUCGGUGAUGCAUUGGCUUAUGGCAAAUGCAGUGCCGCAGGGAAGCCGUUAAGUUUGCCGCCUGGGAAGUACGGACGCAAGUCUGAAACUUAAAGGAAUUGGCGGG
rnacentral:rRNA from 1 species